rnacentral:rRNA from 1 species
AGCGAACGCUGGCGGCAGGCUUAACACAUGCCAGUCGAGCGGGCAUCCUUGUGGUGUCAGCGGCAGACGGGUGAGUAACGCGUGGGAACGUGCCCUUCGGUUCGGAAUAACUCAGGGAAACUUGAGCUAAUACCGGAUACGCCCUUUUGGGGAAAGGUUUACUGCCGAAGGAUCGGCCCGCGUCUGAUUAGCUAGUUGGUGAGGUUAUGGCUCACCAAGGCGACGAUCAGUAGCUGGUCUGAGAGGAUGAUCAGACACACUGGGACUGAGACACGGUCCAGAAUCUUACGGGAGGCAGCAGUGGGGAAUAUUGGAAAAUGGCGGCAACCCUGAUCCAGCCAUGCCGCGUGAGUGAUGACGGCCGUAGGGUUGUAAAGCGCUUUUCUCCGUGACGAUAAUGACGGUACCGGAGGAAUAAGCCCCGGCUAACUUCGUG